AGAGUUUGAUCAUGGCUCAGAUUGAACGCUGGCGGCAGGCCUAACACAUGCAAGUCGAGCGGUAGCACAGAGAGCUUGCUCUCGGGUGACGAGCGGCGGACGGGUGAGUAAUGUCUGGGAAACUGCCUGAUGGAGGGGGAUAACUACUGGAAACGGUAGCUAAUACCGCAUAACGUCGCAAGACCAAAGUGGGGGACCUUCGGGCCUCAUGCCAUCAGAUGUGCCCAGAUGGGAUUAGCUAGUAGGUGGGGUAACGGCUCACCUAGGCGACGAUCCCUAGCUGGUCUGAGAGGAUGACCAGCCACACUGGAACUGAGACACGGUCCAGACUCCUACGGGAGGCAGCAGUGGGGAAUAUUGCACAAUGGGCGCAAGCCUGAUGCAGCCAUGCCGCGUGUGUGAAGAAGGCCUUCGGGUUGUAAAGCACUUUCAGCGGGGAGGAAGGCGUUAAGGUUAAUAACCUUGGCGAUUGACGUUACCCGCAGAAGAAGCACCGGCUAACUCCGUGCCAGCAGCCGCGGUAAUACGGAGGGUGCAAGCGUUAAUCGGAAUUACUGGGCGUAAAGCGCACGCAGGCGGUCUGUCAAGUCGGAUGUGAAAUCCCCGGGCUCAACCUGGGAACUGCAUUCGAAACUGGCAGGCUAGAGUCUUGUAGAGGGGGGUAGAAUUCCAGGUGUAGCGGUGAAAUGCGUAGAGAUCUGGAGGAAUACCGGUGGCGAAGGCGGCCCCCUGGACAAAGACUGACGCUCAGGUGCGAAAGCGUGGGGAGCAAACAGGAUUAGAUACCCUGGUAGUCCACGCCGUAAACGAUGUCGAUUUGGAGGUUGUGCCCUUGAGGCGUGGCUUCCGGAGCUAACGCGUUAAAUCGACCGCCUGGGGAGUACGGCCGCAAGGUUAAAACUCAAAUGAAUUGACGGGGGCCCGCACAAGCGGUGGAGCAUGUGGUUUAAUUCGAUGCAACGCGAAGAACCUUACCUGGUCUUGACAUCCACAGAACUUUCCAGAGAUGGAUUGGUGCCUUCGGGAACUGUGAGACAGGUGCUGCAUGGCUGUCGUCAGCUCGUGUUGUGAAAUGUUGGGUUAAGUCCCGCAACGAGCGCAACCCUUAUCCUUUGUUGCCAGCGGUUCGGCCCGGGAACUCAAAGGAGACUGCCAGUGAUAAACUGGAGGAAGGUGGGGAUGACGUCAAGUCAUCAUGGCCCUUACGACCAGGGCUACACACGUGCUACAAUGGCAUAUACAAAGAGAAGCGACCUCGCGAGAGCAAGCGGACCUCAUAAAGUAUGUCGUAGUCCGGAUUGGAGUCUGCAACUCGACUCCAUGAAGUCGGAAUCGCUAGUAAUCGUAGAUCAGAAUGCUACGGUGAAUACGUUCCCGGGCCUUGUACACACCGCCCGUCACACCAUGGGAGUGGGUUGCAAAAGAAGUAGGUAGCUUAACCUUCGGGAGGGCGCUUACCACUUUGUGAUUCAUGACUGGGGUGAAGUCGUAACAAGGUAACCGUAGGGGAACCUGCGGUUGGAUCACCU
rnacentral:rRNA from 1 species